rnacentral:lncRNA from 1 species
UAUUAAUCCAUUUUGCCCAUCACAAACCAAUACUGGCUGGGUUGGAAUGCACAUCUAACGGCAGGAGAGAAGCAUAGCCUCCCUCCGUUCCUCAUGUGACUCCUAAUGCCCUAACGACUAGGAGUCGCUAAUACCAGCAGGAACUCACUUGUACAUGCGGGAGAACAAUGGCCAGCCACACAGGAGGAAAGGCCAUGCUGAACGAGAUGCAUUCUGGUCAUUUCGGAGUGAAGCACACGAUUGCCAAAAUCAACCUACGCUUCUUCUGGCGUGGAAUUGUCAAGGAGGUGGACAGCUGGGGAAGUGAAAUAACCUUUUGUUUAUCAAUCACAUUCUGUUAUAUCUGAAAUUAUUAUAAUUUCAAUGAAUGUCAUAUCAGAGAGCACCCAAAGUUUCAAUUUGUCACUUUGUGCUUAAGCACCAGCUGUCAGAGCAGCUCACAGAUCACUGCACCUGUACAUCUAUAAUUUAGCCCAAACAACUACCUCUUCCCCUACUGUAUUAAUUAAUUUAUUUAUUUAUUUUGCUCCUUUGCACCCUAUUAUUUCUAUUUCUACUUUGCA